GCCAUUGUGGUGUAGUGGUUAAGAGCGGUAGACUUGUAAUCUGGUGAACUGGGUUCGAUUCCCCACAUGCAGCUGCU
rnacentral:tRNA from 1 species